rnacentral:sRNA from 1 species
UGCUAGCGUGAGAGAUGAGGGCCAGGGUC